UACGUAGGGGGCUAGCGUUGUCCGGAUUUAUUGGGCGUAAAGAGCGUGUAGGCGGCCAGAUAGGUCUGCUGUGAAAACUCGAGGCUCAACCUCGAGAUGUCGGCGGAAACCAUUUGGCUAGAGUCCGGAAGAGGAAAGUGGAAUUCCUGGUGUAGCGGUGAAAUGCGCAGAUAUCAGGAAGAACACCCGUGGCGAAGGCAGGUCACUGGGCCGCAACUGACGCUGAGGAGCGAAAGCAUGGGGAGCGAACAGG
rnacentral:rRNA from 1 species